rnacentral:rRNA from 1 species
CCUACGGGAGGCUGCAGUGAGGAAUAUUGGUCAAUGGGCGCGAGCCUGAACCAGCCAAGUAGCGUGAACGAUGACUGCACUACGGGUUGUAAACUUCUUUUAUAAGGGAAUAAAGUAAGGCACGUGUGCCUUUUUGUAUGUGCUUUAUCAAUAAAGAUACGCUCACUCCGGGCCAUCAGCCGCGGUAAUACGGAAGAUCCGAUCGUUAUCCGGCUUUCUUGGGUUUAAAGGGAGCGUAGUCGGGUUUUUAAAUCAGUUGGGAAAGUUUGCGGCGCAAACGUAAAAUUGAAAUUGAUACUGGAAGUCUUGAGUACAGUUGAGGUAGGCGGAAUUCGUGGUGUAGCGGUGAAAUGCUUAGAUAUCACGAAGAACUCCGAUUGCGAAGGCAGCUUACUAAGCUGCUACUGACAUUGAUGCUCGAAAGUGUGGGUAUCAAACAGGAUUAGAUACCCCAGUAGUC